rnacentral:rRNA from 1 species
AAUAGAUACCCAGGUAGUCCUAGCCGUAAACGAUGAACACUAGGCGUAGUCGGUAUCGACCCCGGCUGUGCCGUAGCUAACGCAUUAAGUGUUCCGCCUGGGGAGUACGGCCGCAAGGCUAAAACUCAAAGGAAUUGACGGGGGGCCCGCACAAGCAGCGGAACGUGUGGUUUAAUUCGUCGCAACGCGAAGAACCUUACCAGGGCUUGACAUGUGGCGGAAAACGGCGGAAACGUCGUCCUCCCGCAAGGGACCGUCAUGCAGGUGUUGCAUGGCUGUCGUCAGCUCGUGUCGUGAGAUGUUGGGUUAAGUCCCGCAACGAGCGCAACCCCCGUGGCAUGUUGUAUCUCUCAUGCCAGACUGCCGAGAGAAACUCGGAGGAAGGUGGGGAUGACGCCAAGUCAGCAUGGCCCUUACGUCCUGGGCUACACACACGCUACAAUGGCCGGUACAACGGGUUGCCAACCGCGAGGUGGAGCUAAUCCCUUAAAGCCGGUCUCAGUUCGGAUUGCAGGCUGCAACUCGCCUGCAUGAAGGCC